rnacentral:rRNA from 1 species
UACGUAGGGUCCGAGCGUUGUCCGGAAUUACUGGGCGUAAAGCGCGCGCAGGCGGUCUUCCAAGUCAGUGGUGAAAGCCUGGAGCUCAACUCCAGAACUGCCAUUGAAACUGUUAGACUUGAGUACGAGAGAGGUGAGUGGAAUUCCCAGUGUAGAGGUGAAAUUCGUAGAUAUUGGGAAGAACACCGGUGGCGAAGGUGGCUCACUGGCUCGUAACUGACGCUCAGGCGCGACAGCGUGGGGAUCAAACAGG